rnacentral:misc_RNA from 1 species
GAAAUGCGAUAAGUAAUGUGAAUUGCAGAAUUCAGUGAAUCAUCGAAUCUUUGAACGCACCAUGCGCUCCUUGGUAUUCCGAGGAGCAUGCCUGUUUGAGUGUCAUGGAAUUCUCAACUCUAUUUGCUUUUGUGAAUAGAGCUUGGAUUUGGAGGUUUAUUGCUGGUACUUGUGAUCGGCUCCUCUUGAAUGCAUUAGCUCGAACCUUUGCGGAUCAGCUAUCGGUGUGAUAAUUGUCUACGCCGUUGCAGUGAAGCAUAUCAAUGGGCUCGGCUUCCAAUCGUCCUUUACUGGACAAUGACUUUGACCUUUGACCUCAAAUCAGGUAGGAUUACCCGCUGAACUUAAGC